rnacentral:piRNA from 1 species
UAAAACUCAGAUAGCCCUUGAACCAGA